rnacentral:rRNA from 1 species
CGGAAGGGGGCAACUCCUUCCAGUCGAGCGGCGGACGGGUGAGUAACACGUGGGUAACCUGCCCGGAAGUGGGGAAUACCUCGGAGAAAUUCGAGCUAAUACCGCAUGACAUCUUCGGGACGAAAGUCCUGACGAUCAAAGCGGGGUCGCAAGAUCUCGCGCUACCGGAUGGGCCCGCGCCCGAUUAGCUAGUUGGUGAGGUAAUGGCUCACCAAGGCUUCGAUCGGUAACCGGCCUGAGAGGGCGAUCGGUCACACCGGAACUGAGACACGGUCCGGACUCCUACGGGAGGCAGCAGUGGGGAAUCUUGCGCAAUGGGCGAAAGCCUGACGCAGCAACGCCGCGUGGAGGAUGAAGGCCCUUGGGUUGUAAACUCCUGUCGGCUGGGAAGAAAUCGAUCGUGGCUCAUACCCACGGUCGUUGACUGUACCAGCAAAGGAAGCCCCGGCUAACUCUGUGCCAGCAGCCGCGGUAAUACAGAGGGGGCUAGCGUUAUUCGGAAUUAUUGGGCGUAAAGGGCGCGUAGGCGGCCAUGCGUGUCUUCCGUGAAAUCCCUCGGCUUAACUGAGGACGUGCGGAAGAAACUGCAAGGCUCGAGUCCGGGAGAGGGGGGUGGAAUUCCCAGUGUAGCGGUGAAAUGCGUAGAUAUUGGGAGGAACACCGGUGGCGAAGGCGGCCCCCUGGACCGGUACUGACGCUGAGGCGCGAAAGCGUGGGUAGCAAACGGGAUUAGAUACCCCGGUAGUCCACGCCGUAAACGAUGGGCACUUGGUGUCGCGGGUAUCGACCCCUGCGGUGCCGAAGCUAACGCAUUAAGUGCCCCGCCUGGGGAGUACGGUCGCAAGGCUG